CAAACAGGAUUAGAUACCCUGGUAGUCCACGCCCUAAACGAUGCACACUAGUUGUUGCUAUGCUAGACAUAGCAGUAAUGCAGUUAACACAGUAAGUGUGCCGCCUGGGGAGUACGGUCGCAAGAUUAAAACUCAAAGGAAUAGACGGGGACCCGCACAAGCGGUGGAGCAUGUGGUUUAAUUCGACGAUACGCGAAGAACCUUACCUGGCCUUGACAUAGUAAGAACUUUUUAGAGAUAAAUUGGUGCUAGUUUACUAGAGCUUACAUACAGGUGCUGCACGGCUGUCGUCAGCUCGUGUCGUGAGAUGUUGGGUUAAGUCCCGCAACGAGCGCAACCCUCGUGUUUAGUUACUAACAGUUCGGCUGAGGACUCUAGACAGACUGCCUGGGUAACCAGGAGGAAGGUGAGGACGACGUCAAGUCAUCAUGGCCCUUACGGCCAGGGCUACACACGUGCUACAAUGGGGUAUACAAAGAGCCGCGAUACUGUGAAGUGGAGCAAAUCUCAAAAAUAUCUCCCAGUUCGGAUAGCAGUCUGCAACUCGACUGCUUGAAGUUGGAAUCGCUAGUAAUCGUAGAUCAGCAAUGCUACGGUGAAUACGUUCCCGGGUCUUGUACUCACCGCCCGUCACACCAUGGGAGUUGAACUCAUUCGAAGCGGGGAUGCUAAAGUAGCUACCCUCCACAGUGGAUUCAGCGACUGGGGUGAAGUCGUAACAAGGUAACC
rnacentral:rRNA from 1 species